rnacentral:rRNA from 1 species
GCUUACGGCCUUACCAGCCUGAAAGUCCCUGAUCUCGUCAGAUCUUGGAAGCUAAGCAGGGUCGGGCCUGGUUAGUACUUGGAUGGAAGACUUCCUGGGAAUACCAGGUGCUGUAAGCA